rnacentral:lncRNA from 1 species
AUCCGAUUAACCAAUCAGAUGCGUUUCAUAUAUCCGAUUAACCAAUCAGAUGCGUUUCAUAUAUUCGAUUAACCAAUCAGAUGCGUUUCAUAUAUCCGAUUAACCAAUCAGAUGCGUUUCAUAUAUUCGAUUAACCAAUCAGAUGCGUACUAAGCCAGUGAGAGGUAGUCAUUACGACAUGAACUCGCAUGUUAUAAACAACUUGUGAAAUGACCAGUUGCUUGUGUAUAAAUAUCAGUUGACAGACAGGUUACCUUAUACAAACUAUGAUUUUUUUAUAUAAUAUUACAGUUACAUAAAUACAUAUAUAGAAGUCAAGCACUUUCGCACUAACACACUCUUGGUUAUAAAACAGCCAUGGGACAGCAUCUUCUGCUCUUAAAAUGUGACUGGAUGGUUAUCUCGUCUUCAAAUCACGUGCAAGUUGGCACAGGGCACAUGGAAGAAAUAUACAGCUUAAGAGGUUAUCUGUGCAGACGGAACCCUGAAAGUAUGAAACAUAGUUUUGUUGGUACACACGUAAAACGCACAAGUUGUUACAGGUCUGCAAACAAGUUGUUAAUAUACAAAUCUGUUCACAAGCUGUCGACAAGUUGUGUUCUGCUAGUUGUUGUAACAAGUUUGGGACAAGCUGUUAACAACUUGGAACAAGCUUGAUGGAAUGAUGGCAUUAUCAGACUUGUUACAUGUUUGUUCUAACAAGUCUGAUACAGUCAUGAUAUAACAAGAAUGUCACAAGGUUGACGACACAAGGUUGUAACAAUAUUAUUAUAUCACUGUAUAGGACUUGUUGGAACGACCUUGCAACAAGUCUGAUAAUAUCAACAAGGUUGUUACAAGUUGUUAAGAACUUGUUGACAACUUGGGACAAGCAGUGCGAGCACAGCUUGUUGACGACUUGUUGGCAAACUUGCUACAAGAUGUGAGAUUCCUGCGUGUGUAGGGUACACUGGCCUAGGUUAACUACUUGUUGACAAUUUUACGUGUGUACAUUGAAUGUCUAGUGUUAGGCAUUUUACAGUAUUCGGUAAUUUAUUUCGUUUUAUUUAUUGUAUUAUAUAGUCUAUUUUUACCGACUUAGAUGUAGAAAUGUAGCGGGUGUUUCAAUAACACAAUGGCUGCUAUGCAUCUAAGGCAGCCUCUCAUCUUAUCUGCCUAACUUUUGCUGCCACUAUAGGUGUCCAUUGCAGUUUUUGUUAUUAAAGGGAGAUGUUCACAAAACAGUAUUUUGAUAUGCUAUAUUACUUUGAAUUUGUACCCGAGUAAAAGUAGGAGUAAUUAACAAUAAAACGACUUGAGUAAGAGUAAAAAGUACUGGGGCCGGUUGUAUAAAAACGUCGUUAACUUUAACUAUGAUUAGCGUUAAUCACUGUAGUUAAAUCCUUAACUAUGAUUAGUUAACUACACGACUUGCACAAAACGUAGUUUGUAGGAUGAUUAACUAAUCACGUAGUUAACUUGCGUGGGGCGUUUUAAACACAAAAUUACAUAAAGUAAGCGGCG